AAACACAGGGAUUGCCUCAGUAACGGCGAGUGAAGCGGCAACAGCUCAAAUUUGAAAUCUGCCGCGAGGCCGAGUUGUAAUUUGUAGAGGAUGCUUCUGGGCAGCGGCCGGUCUAAGUUCCUUGGAACAGGACGUCAUAGAGGGUGAGAAUCCCGUAUGCGACCGGUUGGCACCCGUCACGUAGCUCCUUCGACGAGUCGAGUUGUUUGGGAAUGCAGCUCUAAAUGGGUGGUAAAUUCCAUCUAAAGCUAAAUACCGGCCAGAGACCGAUAGCGCACAAGUAGAGUGAUCGAAAGAUGAAAAGCACUUUGGAAAGAGAGUUAAAAAGCACGUGAAAUUGUUGAAAGGGAAGCGCAUGCAACCAGACUUGUCGGCGGUGUUCCGCCGGUCUUCUGACCGGUCUACUCGCCGCCGACAGGCCAGCAUCGUGUGGGUGUGCCGGAUAAAGGCGUCGGGAAUGUGGCCCCUCGGGGUGUUAUAGCCCGGCGCAUAAUACGGUGCCGCCCGCGCGAGGUCCGCGCUUCGGCUAGGAUGCUGGCGUAAUGGUCGUAUGCGGCCCGUCUUGAAACACGGACCAAGGAGUCUAACAUCUGUGCGAGUGUUCGGGUGUCAAACCCCUACGCGGAAUGAAAGUGAACGGAGGUGGGAGCUUCGGCGCACCAUCGACCGAUCCUGAUGUCCUCGGAUGGAUUUGAGUAAGAGCAUAGCUGUUGGGACCCGAAAGAUGGUGAACUAUGCCUGAAUAGGGUGAAGCCAGAGGAAACUCUGGUGGAGGCUCGCAGCGGUUCUGACGUGCAAAUCGAUCGUCAAAUUUGGGUAUAGGGGCGAAAGACUAAUCGAACCAUCUAGUAGCUGGUUCCUGCCGAAGUUUCCCUCAGGAUAGCAGUAGCGUUUUCAGUUUUAUGA
rnacentral:rRNA from 1 species